rnacentral:RNase_P_RNA from 1 species
GUGAGGUAAGAGCUCACCAGCAGACGAGGCGACUCGUUUGGCUAGGUAAACCCCACUCGGAGCAAGGCCAAACAGAAAGGAGCGGAGCGCAUUGCGGUUCGCACGGUUCGGCUCGAACCGUUGACUUUCGGGUAGGCUGCUGGAGACGUCAAGCAAUUGCCGUCCUAGAUAAAUGAUCGUCCGCUGCAAAGUGACAGAACCCGGCUUAUCGGUUCACUUCCCGU